rnacentral:misc_RNA from 1 species
GACUACUUUCAAUGUCGAGGUUAGUUAAACGACUUCUUUAAUUCAAGGCUGAUAGUGAGAUAGGGAUUAGGGCAAUAGUAUUUUAGGAUUGGUUUCCAUGUUGUCAAGUCCAUCAGACAUCCAACCUCUUCUGAGAACACGUCCUUUACUUGAAGACUCGUAUAAUUAUACCCUAAAGAAUAUUGGACUUUUUUUCAAAGCACACCCAUUCUUACCAAAGACUCAUUAUUCCUUGUAAUAGUAUCUUUAUAUGCAUACACAUG